GAUUUAGCCGUGGUGCUCUUUGAAACCGCCACACUGCGAUCCGGCUACCAACUCACAGACACCAAAGCUUAUGGAGACAGAAUAGAGCGCAUGUUGCGGCUCAGCAUGAACGUAGAUCUUGAAGAACAGGUAGAGGAAGAGCAAGAAGAGGAACCAGAAGAACCGACAGAAGAAGCAGAGGAUGAGGAGGAGGUCCAGGCAGAUGAGGAGGCAGAAGAUGAAACUGAUACCACAGACAAAGAUGAGUUGUAAAGUUUAAAUCUGGGAGGGACGGGUUAUCGGACUGUGAUGCAGAGUGAAGAUGGCGAUCUCAGCUGGUUAUCUUUUCUCUGUGCCGGGUGGGUUAGGGGGAUAGGAGCUGUUUUUUUUUUUUUUAAGGCGCUACGUUUGUGUUUGAAAUUUCUUUUUUUUUUUUUCUUCUUUUUUUUACAUUCCUCCAUAAUUGUAAAUUUGUUAAUAUUUAACUGACCCAGUUGUGGAGUGCUGACUCCUGUCCACUGAACCAUUAAAUGUUUCCUGAAAAGGA